AGAAUCAACCAGAAUCCUCCAUGGGAUCGUCAUCCGUGGGCAUUGAUCCAUCUGAGAGGGGAUCGUCAUCCGUUUGGCAUUGAUGCAUCUGAGAGGGAUCGUCAUCCGUUUGUGAUAGGGGGCCAUCAGUGAAGUGAAGUUGUGGGUAAUUGGUUAGCGCUAGAAAGAAAGUAGAAAUCGAAAGUACUCUUGCCAUGCAUGGUAAUUAUUUACCGGCUAAGCACUAAGCGUGUCAUUCGAGGUACUGGAGCAAGAGCAUCUUGUACAUAUUUCUUGUAUCUUGAUAUAGGUCCUCCUUGUUCCUGCCAUCUUAAUGCUGGCUGUAUAUAUAAUUUGUGCACCUUGGUGAUAGAAUUCACACAUCAGUUGGCAGACAUUUUGUAGUGGUUCAAAAGCUAUAGUUUGCCUGCUGCUGAUUGACUGUUCUGAUUGACACUAAGAGAGUAGAAUUCAAGUUUUAUCAAUCAGAAUCGAACAAAAAGCAAGGACUGAAAAUGCUACAGCUACACAAAAGAUCAUGUGACAUUCAUUACAUAACAAUAAAUGAUUACAUAACAAUAAAUGAAGAAUAAGAAUAAAGAUAAGUAAACAGGAAGUCCAUAAUAGAAUGUGUACACUGAUUGACUUUAACCCUUUCCCUGUUAAAGCCGUCAUAUGACGGCCACUCUAGUGGUCAUUUUCAGUGUUGGAGCUGUGUACACACUGUAGGUACCAGCGCAUUGAGCUGCUCUUUCACGUGGUAUCUUUAAUAUGCUGCCUCGAGGCCUCGAGGUACGCUUGGUACAGUAAUGUAGAAAGAAAAGUGACCGUUUGAUAAUGUUUCAAGAUCUUCGUAGUACAACCUUAGUGAGGUUCUAAAGUAUAGCUAGACAGUGAGAAUAUCGAUGCUUAUGGCCUGCCUUGUUGAGUGAGAGGACAAUGACUGGGAUCAUAGCUAGCUACCUCAAGCUAGAAAAUAUAGAGCCUGAAGGCCUGAAGAAGAAGCUCUUGCGAUGGAACAACUUCUUGGAUCUGGUGAUUUCCCGGGAAAAGGGCGUCUGCUGAUAUGACCUCGCAGAGAACUUUCUGCAGAUCCUGAUUGAACCAUGUCACCGUGAAAACAUUAAGAACACUUAUUUAGUGUCUUUAGCCACUCUGUGCCCUGUGCCCUCAUACAAUACUAUUUGUGUACAUAGUUGUGAAUGUUUGUAAACAAUUGCUAAUUAGUGGGGGUGGUCAGUUGCUAGGUAACCUGCGCUACCUGUAGGAAAUAGUUACAAGUGAUUUCAAUGUAUGAAUUUUGAAUAUUUAUUCUGUAUUUUCAUGUUUUAAUUAAAACGGGGAAAGUAUCUUCUGAGGAAAGUGGCAGUGCCAUCCAAGAUAGCAAGAUCAAGAUCUGUUAUCCCAAGCAGAUACAAUGACUACACUCUAAAUGUAUCUUCUGUCGAAGAAAGUUUGAAGUUUGACAAAUAGUAAGUUAAUUGUCAGUGCAGUAUACGUACAUUGUACAUGCAUGUACGUGAUGCUGUAUAUAAUUUAUGUGUAAUGAUUAUUAUGCGCCGCUCAGUAUAAUUAUAGUGCAUGUUCCUAGUAAUUAUAUAUAAUUAUGCUGCGCUAUAAUUACAGCUAGAGAAGACUUUAGAAAGUGUGCAUGUGUUACAUCAUAGGGAAAGGGAUUGGAAACGCAAUAGAAUCUUGUACUAUAGGCUAGUUGCGUCAUGUGACAGGAAAUGCCAUACUUAACCCCUAACACCAUCCACAUGGAAUUUAUCAUUUGAAAAAAAGAACAAACGAGGAUAAUAAUUAUUAACACAAGAAGAGGCAAUUAUGUGGAUAGUAUCAAGUUUGUGAAGAAGAGAAGAAGUUGACUGCCAGAGAGACGGUCCAGACUCUCUGAAAGCUUCUGGGAGUCUUCUAGAGCUUUGUGAUUUCUACGAUAAACACACCAUGUAAACACACCAUGGAUAGAAGACAACACUAUAAUUAUGCAACAAUUUUAUCAUUUAUGUGUGACAUUGAACAAUGCUUAUACUCUUAUACUAUGUACUUAGUACAUGUAUGUUGGUAAAGAUUGAUCUGGAUAUAGCUAUAAUACUACAGAAAUGCUUGAUUUAUCACAAGUUUACUUGAAAGGACCACUUCUAUCUUUGUCUAGCAUUCCAUAUUCCCUCUUCAGGUUCCCCAUGUCCUGUGUUUGAACUGCUGAUAAUAAGUUUGUAUCUUGUGUAUUAUACACAGUACUAAUAUGGGAAUAAUAUAAAAUACACAAUAAUUGCACAAUUGUAAAACAAGUGAUUGAGCCUUCAUAAAUAAGUGUAUAGCUAUCUAACUAUGCUAUUCCCAUUCUACUGUUAAUAACGCAUGCUACUGUAAAACUAUAGUGCUAUUGCUCAUCGCUGGAUAAGGUAAGAGGAACGGAAACAUGCUGCCAUAUUUUGUUCUAUUUGUACUUCUAUUUGUACAAUAUGUUUGCUAAUGUACCUAGGAAAACUUUACAAAGUAGCUAUUCCCAUUCUAUACACUAUAGGCUUUCUCCUCAUACUAAAUACAGCCUAUUACACAAACCAGGGGUGAUGAUAUAGGAACAAAACUUACAAUACAGCAGAAAUCCAAGAAACUCAGUAGCUAGGAGUCUGUAGGUAGUCUGCUAUGGCUCAGCAUAGCCCUGUGGGUGUUGACUACCCAAUACAUAGCUGGAGUUUCUCAUAAAACAAUCAACGCUUCAGACUGUGGGCGAGUUACCAGCUUACCAGCUUUCCAGUAGCUCAACAAGCCUCUAAAAUCAUGUUAUGACGUCACACGUACAAUUGAUAGAGCAUCAUGUCAAUCCCUUUCCUUCUUCUAUCUAUGGUUACAUGCACAAUUCGAAUAAUACGGUAUUUAUAAUUAUGCAGUAUUUAUAAUUAUGCAUAAGCGUUUCAUAAUUAUAUGCACUAGUGAAAGCGUCGUUGUGGAGGCAGCAUAUUUGUUCCUUUAAUUGUAGCAUGCAUUCUAAAAUGUGUAGUAUUCUAAAAUGUCUAUCAUGCAGAACCAGUGGUAGUGAAGUGUUCUCAAACUGGGAAACAAUUGUGCACAGCAGUAGGAAAGUUGUCUACUUUUAAUGCUUCCCCUAAAACGUGGAACUAACUAUGAAGAAGUGCGUAUAAAAUUAUUCACUUUCUCAAAAUGAUUAUGGUAUAAUCAUGUAGAAUACGUGAAAAAAAAGCCAGAAGAAACCUCAAAUUAAGAUGGAGACGAUAGAUUCCGAGAAGAGCCGAGAGAUAGCCGAAACGAGAUAGAUUAAGCUCAAACAGCAAAGGUGGAAGCUUUAAGUAAUUAUUUUAUCAUUGUUUGACAGUAGUGACAGUAGUGACAAGACUGAGUCACUACUGACAACAAAUAUCUAAGCGUAAGUAAGGACAUGUAUAUACCACAUUAAUUUUGUUGGCAGAUUCAUAUACAUCAUUGUACAUGAGAUACAGAUUUCAAGUUUAUGAAUUAUGUAGGAUCAGGAGGGUGGAGAGAUCAGGAGGAUGGAGAUGAGCUACGAGUUAUGUACACCAAGGUAGAGACAAUAAUUAUUAUUGUAUUACUGGAAAAUAAAUAGGACCGAGCAAUACGGAUUGAAGAAAAGCUAGACCUCAUUGUUUCGAUGUUGAAAAAGGACGAGUUAGGUUUCGGUUUCGAGGGUUAUCAGAAAAGAAGUGGAGUCAAGGUGGAGGUGGAACGGAUCACAUUGGAUCACACUACAUGCAUGACCAUUUAAUUUCACAGAAGAAACCAUUCCAGCGAGAGAUGUGUAUGCAUAUAAUUAUGGAUAUAUGGAUGUGCUCUGAGGAACUGAAAAAUUCUCUUGCUUUUGAGAGCAAGAAAUCCAACUGCCACAAAAGUGUGUUGGAUCAGAUCCGAGUGACUAAGAUCAGUGGUAAGCGGUAAGCAUAAGUUGCAAAAUGUAAUCAAGCAAAAUGUAAUCAACUAAUAUAAUUUUGUUGCUUCAGACUGUGUUGUGAAGAAGUAUGGACAAGGAUGUUUCAUGAAUAAUAAUUACACGAUCUAUAAUUAUAGAUCCAUAAAUUAUUGACUAGAAUGGACCUUGUGUUAAUGCAUCUUUCUUUAGGAAAUUUAGAUGAUGAGGUUGGUUGGGGCAUUGCCGGCUGUUUUCUGGCCAUCUGGGUAUGCUAACCCUAGGGCAAUAUAUGGCGUAGUGCUGACAUGCUAUUUUAGUCUCAAGGAACUUUCAUUUUCUCACUCCUUGAUGCGCUACAUGCUCUUGAGUUGGAUAGCGCCUCUGUGAUAAAUUUUUCGCUUGACAUGAGGCUGAAAAUUUCUCGGAUAACGCAAGUUCUUGUCUUGUCCAUGCCACAAUACUAGCACCUGUGUCGUGUCGGUCUAAUACAUGUGAAAAACACAUCCCAUCGAGGUCAAAUAAAACAGUUACUACCACAGUGCAGUGCAGUUAUAAUUCUUAGUCACAACGAGCCAUAGGACAUAAGUCGUCGGGUGUACAUGUAUGCAUGGUUACAUACAUGGUUAGACCUCAUACAUGGUUAGACCUACACAACCCACUGCCAAAGUCCACUGGCUUUUGCCAGUGUGGGGUGUGGGGAUUGGAAACGAGAUCACGUGAACACAAUUUCAUGGACUGUCCGUGUUAGACGGAAGCAUUAGAUAAUUAUAGAUCUGUGUUGCUGGGUAUGAUUGCUCUGGGUAUAGUUGGGCCCUUUGCUCUGUGGGCCCAUCAAGUGAAAUGCUUUUUUUUGUAGGAUCUUUCUACUCUGGAAAUGUCUACAAUAUAUAAGAUAUCCAAAUUAAUUAUGAACUGCAUGACAGAACUUACCUGAUCAGAACUUACCUGAUCACCUGAUCAACUAUUAUAAUAUAUAGUAGAAGAGUGAUGCUUUCACAAAUCUAUUUAGGCCAGGAUUUUGAGCACAGCACACUUUUUUGCAGGACAAUAUUAUUUCACAAGCCACCUAGUGAAUAUCAAACAGAACUCUGUGCAAUCUUCGGCAAAAAGUUACCGGCUCGUUGCUGAUGAUGACACAAGUUUUCUUCUGAUCAGCAACAAGCUAAUGUACGGUUGAAUUUACUCUUCCGCAAGUACAAGUAUGUGCUCCUAAAUGGGAUGAAAGUUGUAAGUUCUACACCCAAGCAUUCUGGGAUAGUUAUGAAGCAUAUAAUUAUGGCUAACUGAGAAAGUGGCUAACUGAGAAAGUGGCUAACUGAGAAAGUGUCGCAAUUCCAGCAAUUCCAGCAAACUCCUGUAAAGUCAGAAGGUGCUGCAACUUUUCAUCUGGAUUUAUCUGGAUAUUUGCAAGUGUGUCUUGGUACGAAACACGAGGAAAACCUGUAGGUGUCCGGACAUAUUUUUAUCCCUCGAGUUGUCUAUUCAAUGUGACGGAGACUGGAGAGAAUCUGCUGGCUGUAUAACACCAUGUGUUUCAUAAUGUGUGUUUCAUAAUGUGUGACGCUCUGUAUAAUUAUUAUGUUGUUGUAGUAGAUUUGUUGUAGUAGAUGUGUAUACUACAAGUAUGUAUACUACAAGUGGUGCUGUAUAUAAUAAAUUCUAUGCAUGGCAUGUGACACCCAUAAUUAGCAAGCUGUGCACAAUUUCUUUAAGUCGUCUCUUAAUCCAAUUUAAGCCCUACACAAGAGAAAGGGGAGAAAGGGGAAACCACAGUUAGAUACAGAGACUGUUAUCAAAUUUAUUUUAUUAUACACCCGAAGUAAAAGUCGACUCAUUGUAUUGUGUGUUCUCCCCUUUUUGUGAGAAUCUUGGGCAGCUGACCAGUUCAAAGGAAAGGGAGUGUAAAGGAAAGGGAGUGUUUUCCAGUGGCGCUGUAACCAGAACUCUGUUACUAAAGCAACCAACAAUUUUUUACCUUGACCAUCUGACGUCACCACUGUGUACUCUUCUUGGCAGAAUUAACCCUUUCCCCGCUUUAGCCGACUAUAGUCGGCAUGGCUACUGAUAAAUUUCAAAAAAUCAUUGUGCACACUGUGCUGGAGCUAUGCACACGCUGCAGGUACCAGCACAUGCGCAUUGAGCUGCUCUUCCACGUGGUAUUUUUAAUAUUUUGCUUCGAGGUACAGUUCGAUCAGAAUCUUCGAAAGAAAAGUGACCAUUUGAUAAUUGCUACAAGAUCUUCGUAGUACAAUGUCAGGGAGGUUCUAGGGAAGCUAGAGAGUGAGAAUAUCGAUGUGAGAGGACAGUGACUGGGAUCAUAGCUAGGUAGGAAGCUUCCUUUCAGAGGUCAAGCUAAAAAGAAAGAGCCUGAGAAUCCUGAUGAAGGCGCACUUGAGGUGGACCAUCUUCCUGGACCUGGUAAGUCACUAUAGAGUAGCAUUUGUAGUCUUGAUAGCUUCACUAUAGGUUUGUUUAGGCUAGUCAGUACAACAGUGGACAACAUGAGCCACCAUUGAACUUGUAAACCUGUGUGUUGUAAACCUGUGUGUAGGUGAAGAAAGUAGGCGAAGAAAUUAUUUCCCAGGAAAAGGGCGUCUGCCGAUAGAAACUCAUAGACAAGUCUCUGCAGAUCCUGAUUGAGUCCUGAGUGAGCCAUGUCACCGUGAGAAUAUUCUGAACACUUAUAUCAUGUGUUCAGUCACUUAGUAAGUUCAGUCACUUAGUAACAUCAUACAAUAUUGUUUGUGUACAUAAUUGUACAUAAUUGUGAAUUUUUGUUAACAAUUGUUAUUUGUGGGGUGUUGGUUGGUUGCUAGGCAACGAUGAUGAUCCCUUGUUUUCACACUACAUUAAGGUUACGGUAUACAGUUCCUCAAAUUUGCGUAGUGUUCAAUGCUCUCAUCUGGCAAUGGUCACUUGUCGUCAAUUCUAAGCAUCAAGAAACCCCUCCUUACCGUAUAGUCUGCUGUUUCUCUAUUAUACGAAUAAAGGGGCAGGGUGACUCGAAGAGUUUUUCCCAAGAGAUAAGUCUUUAGGCAUCGAAUACUGGUCAGAAAGACAACCUAGAAGCUAUGCAGCCAACACAAUUUGACGACAAAAU